CCCACCUCUCUGAAGCUCUCACAAACAGAAACAGAGAACAAACAAGAAAGAGAGAGAGAAAUUAGAGAGAGAAAUGGAAGUAUUUCCCAUUGAAUCUGAAUCAUGGGUAUUCUCUACAAGCCCAUACCAAGAGAACCCAGAUGAGAAAACCCUCACAGACCAAUCUAGAACCUCCUCUGGAUCUUCUUUGGUUAGCCAAGAACACGAGGAGGACUGGCCAAGAAUGAAGAACGAGAAGAAGAAAAAGAAGAAGAACCAGGUUUUGCUUGAAGCGUAUGUGGAGGCUGCGGAUGAGGACGAUCUGACGAGGACCAAGAGCUUGACGGAUGAAGAUCUUGAUGAGCUCAAAGGUUGUUUGGAUCUGGGAUUUGGGUUCAGCUACGACGAGAUUCCUGAGCUCUGCAACACGUUGCCUGCGCUUGAGCUUUGCUAUUCCAUGAGUCAGAAGUUUAAUGAUGACCAACAGAAGUCGCCUGAGAGUUCUCCGGCGCCGACUGCGGAUUCGUGCUCUCCGGUGUCGAGUCCGAUUGCUAAUUGGAAGAUCUCUAGUCCCGGUGAUCAUCCAGAGGAUGUUAAAGCAAGGCUCAAAUUCUGGGCACAAGCUGUGGCUUGCACUGUGAGAUUAUGCAGCUGAAACAGGUUAUUGCAACAUCCGCAAGGAAAAGCGGAAGCCAUAUUCUCUUUGAUAUGAGACCUUAAUGGCCUGGACGUUCCAACCUUUAAGUGGAGCUUUUGCUUCAUCGGUCCAUUCCAGGAAGACGUUCACAGGAAGCAAUGUUCCUGCAACUAUUUUAAUUUGGAAAAUGGACACGGCAGGGAUGAUGGAUGAAGGGGUCUAUUUUGGAAGAAGAGGAGGAAGAGGAAUGUUUCAGUGGUGAGAGCCUUCAUUUAGAGCUUCACCAACUCCUUGCUGACCUCUGCAUCUGCUGAGAUUAAUGUCCAUUCUGCUGUAUUGCAGUCACGAGUCGAAACAGGGACUGGAUUGCCAACAGAAUUUCUUUGAUGAAUGACGAAAUUUUUUUAUGGAAAGGUUUCUUUUGGUUCUGUGUGAAGAAUGGGUUUAAGAGUUUUUAAAGUAUUGAUAGACGCUUUGUUUUAUGAUCGAUCAUUAGAGUUUUGACUGUUAGAUCAUGUUUUGAGUUAUCGAUCAUUAGCUUAUGUUUGGUUGCGAAGAAAGAAAAUAGAAAGGAUGUAUAGCCUAGGAGUGAUGGAAAGUGGGAAUGGAGGAGAAAAUUUUGUUUUAAUCCAUGUUAGUGUAGUAGGAGGAGACAUAAAUUCUCGUGUCUUUGGUAUUUAUGGUACAAAGUGGAAGGCAAGAAAGUUCAUUUAAUACUAUAUUAUCAUUUUGUUGGUC